UGGGGAAUAUUGCACAAUGGGCGCCAGCCUGAUGCAGCCAUGCCGCGUGUAUGAAGAAGGCCUUCGGGUUGUAAAGUACUUUCAGCGGGGAGGAAGGUGUUGUGGUUAAUAACCACAGCAAUUGACGUUACCCGCAGAAGAAGCACCGGCUAACUCCGUGCCAGCAGCCGCGGUAAUACGGAGGGUGCAAGCGUUAAUCGGAAUUACUGGGCGUAAAGCGCACGCAGGCGGUCUGUCAAGUCGGAUGUGAAAUCCCCGGGCUCAACCUGGGAACUGCAUCCGAAACUGGCAGGCUUGAGUCUUGUAGAGGGGGGUAGAAUUCCAGGUGUAGCGGUGAAAUGCGUAGAGAUCUGGAGGAAUACCGGUGGCGAAGGCGGCCCCCUGGACAAAGACUGACGCUCAGGUGCGAAAGCGUGGGGAGCAAACA
rnacentral:rRNA from 1 species